UGCUUUGAGAGGGUGUCCCCUGCACUCAAGGAGAUCCUGCUCAAGUUAUACCAGUAAGCACUUUUGAUCCAUCAAGAUUCUCAAGGUAGAAUUUUACUUGUUGCUAAUCCUCAUUUAUCAUAUCCGAGAUGAUUGAAUUUCUUUGUUUAAAGGUAACUUCUGCAUACAACAUGAUUUAUCAUUGGCUUACCCGAAAUAAAAAGCAGGAAAUUAAGAAAUAAAUGUAUGAUAAGUUCUGCAAAGGUGUCUCAUCGACUCCAUGUAACAAGUCUCUGCCUCUACAGAACUAUCUCAUCAGUAUAUUUCAUAUAGAAAUAGAAAAUGUUCUGUGGAUGCAAUUCUAGAUAUUCAAGCUCUAGUAGUCGAGGAAAGGAAAAGGAAACUAACAAAAUGCUAACCUUGAAAAUAGUAGGCUUUCAUUGCUCUGGUCAGUUUUGAAAUUGCUUUCUUCUCCUUCACAUUCCAAGUAAGCAAACAUGCAUCUCAAGUUGCAUGGAUGAUCAACAAAAACGAUGAUGAAAAUUGAUUCUCUUCGUUUCAUGAUAGUGCUGAGAAGCCUGUGGAGAUUGAUCAUCACUUGUAUGAAUUCGGGUGCGUGGAAUACCAUGUUCAGGUUAGUCUAUUGCACUCUUAGCAUGAUAAUUACAGAUAACUUAUGUCAACACCAACAGUUGGAAUGACUCAGCAUCUGGAAAUCUGCAGUUGUGGAAAUAAUUGAGAUUAAUGGCUGUGUGCAUGCUAAAAAAGGACAUGCCUACUAUCUGUCAAUUUGAGCUAUCCUGACAUAUAUAGGCUUUCAACAAAAUGUUGAGAAUUAUUCUGGUAAUCAUCCUGUAAUGUUCACAGUCUUCUGCAGCUGAUCCACAAAAUAACUACCUGUCAUUAUCAACUCCACUACUGUCCCAGGGAGCCCUGCUAUCAUGUGGUUUGUCAUCGUACACUACGCAGAUGGUAAAGCAAGUUUGCUCGGAUGCUGUGGAGAUUGUUGAACCUGCAAAAGAAGGAUAUCAGCUUACCCUAAAGCUAAAUCUUGCAAAGAUUCCACGUGGAAAAGGUUUGCUACUUCUCCAAAUCAUCGCGAUAACAAUAAUUAUAUAUAAAAAAACAAGAGCUUAUUGGUACUUUGUGGCACAUACUAGUGCUGUCUUGAAUUUAAGCAUGUUAUUCCUUCUAUUCACCUAAAAAUAGAGAGUGGUUUUCAAUAUAUUAUAAAAUCAGUACGGAAUAUACAGAGAACAUAGAUUCAAACUAUCAGUCUACAAAAGAAGAAAGAAAGCUUGAACGAGAAGAAAGUUGUGUAAAUUCUUUACACAAACAAGAGAUACAAGAACUCCAUGCAGUAAACCUGAGUUCAGGUGUUACAGCAAAGACAAAUUAACAGUACAAAGAAAAGUUCAACCACCCAAACUAGACAUUUUAAACCUGACAUUUUGAAUCUUUGAUCAACUACAGUACCAGAUCACUGUAGUACUUAGUUAGCUGUCCUCUUAAAUAACAGGUUUCCUGCUUCUGCCAGUUCCACCGUCCACAAUCUCAGAUUUGAAGACAUCCAUACCAAGUUUUCUGUGACACUGAGAGCAGGAAAUAAAGAGAUCAGCUGAUAAUACUCCUGAAAAGAGUCAACAACUCAGAAAAUAGUACCAUCUGUUUAGGUGGAGAGCUGAAAUAAUAAUAAGAGCUGAACAAAAUAUUUGAAAAAAGGACUUCUACUAAAUGUAGACAAAGCAUUCAACUCAAGAUCCUAAAACUAAUUAGAACUAGUGAAAAAGAAAUUUUAUGCUGAAUGACUUGUAAUUGAAGCCUGUGUAAUCUUCAAGAUUUGGAGCAUGAAAAUAAUAACAUCAUGAUCUUCCUUAUCCAAGCAUUUUGUAAGGAAUGAAAGGAUAACGAAGAAAAUCUUGAUAGGAAAUGUUUAUUUUUUUGUCCAUUUUCAUACCAUGCUGUGAAAUUUCUGCACUUCAUAAUCAUGCUGAUACAAAUGUUCCUUUCCAGACCCUUACAAAGUGAUUACGCAAAUUUCCUCAGUGCAAGCAGUUAUACUAUGUUCCCAGCUGAAAGAAAUGUUGAGAAAUGUCAAUU
rnacentral:lncRNA from 1 species